rnacentral:rRNA from 1 species
AUGCCACCUUCCGUGCACGACACGGAAGGCCUGCCAUUCAUGAAGCAUGGUUGUGUCUUCAGUGCGCACCGCCGGAUGAACGACAUGCUGGGACACGCUAUCCCUGAUUUAUGCCGCUUCAGCUUGGAUGAGUCUCCAUCGUGUGGAACCGGACUAGAAAGCUGCGACAAUGAUUCCCAUUGGCCACCGCUAUGGAUCGUGCCAUCCAUGAAGAACACCUGGGACUGGAACCUGGAGGAGGACAUUAGUACUAGUAGAAUUGAGAUUGAAUGCACUUUCUUCCCCGUCUUCCACUCUUCUUCCUCCUCUCUUCUUCUUCCUCCUCUCUUCCCCAUCGUCGGCCGCACACCAUUUACCCCCGCUCACUGCUCGCCCGCCCGCGCCAUCUUCCCUGCAGACGCAAAUGCGCUGGCUUUCAUGAUUCCAGGACCUGGAAUCAUACCAGCCGAUGGGUGGUGGUUUAUCGCUCGUUUAGCAGACGGCGUACCAUAUAACUGGAAUUACCGAUGCAAGUCGAAGAAGGAUUGGCCGGUGCUGCCGGCUGGCGUCAAGUUCGAUCCCACGGAUCAGGAGCUGAUCGAGCACCUUGAGGCCAAAGUGAGUGCUGACAGCGCGAGAUUUCAGUCUCUCAUCGAUUUGUUCAUACCAACCAUCGACAGCGAGCACGGCAUAUGCUACACCCAAACUGAGAAACUUCCAGGUAUCACACUGAGUGGCCUAAGGAAGCAUUUCUUCCAGCGCAAUUCCAGGGCGUUCAAAAGGGGCACACGGGCAUCAAAAAAGGUUCUGGUGCUGCACACCAACAAGAACUUCGACCAGCAGAGGACCAACUGGGUGAUGCACCAGUACCACCUCGGGGACCUGGAGCAAGAGAAGGAGCGGGAGCUGUUGUACUACCUUGUCGUCCGCAAGUUGGUAUUGUUGUUAAUGAUCUUUUGGUCGAGCAAGUUUCAACUGGGUUGUAGACUGCCCAGGGUUGGUUUUGUUUUUAACAAGCCCAGCCCAUGA